rnacentral:rRNA from 1 species
GGUCCCGCCUGCCCAGUGACUCUUUAAACGGCCGCGGUAUCCUAACCGUGCAAAGGUAGCAUAAUCACUUGUCCCCUAAAUCGGGACUGGAAUGAAUGGCUAAAUGAGGACUAAACUGUCUCUUGCGGACUGGCCAAUGAAAUUGAUUUUCCAGUACAAAAGCUGGGAUAUUCUUAUAAGACGAGAAGACCCUGUGGAGCUUAAAAGCCAGAUCACACAGCAUGCUUCCCUGGAUUUUUAGUUGGGGCGACUUCGGAAUAUAAAAAAACUUCCAAAAAAUGAAAAUAUUUUAAGAUUAACGCACCAAAACUUCUACAUGAGACCCAGCAACUAAUUACUUUACUUGUCUGACCAAUGAACCAAGUUACCCCAGGGAUAACAGCGCAAUCCCCUUUCAGAGUCCAUAUCGACAAGGGG